rnacentral:rRNA from 1 species
UACGAAGGGGGCUAGCGUUGCUCGGAAUUACUGGGCGUAAAGCGUACGUAGGCGGCUUUCUAAGUCGGGGGUGAAAUCCUGGAGCUCAACUCCAGAACUGCCUUCGAUACUGGAAAGCUCGAGUCCGGGAGAGGUGAGUGGAACUGCGAGUGUAGAGGUGAAAUUCGUAGAUAUUCGCAAGAACACCAGUGGCGAAGGCGGCUCACUGGCCCGGUACUGACGCUGAGGUGCGAAAGCGUGGGGAGCAAACAGG